GUGAAUCGCAUCCUUUUUUUUUUUUUUUUAACGCAGUUCUUUGGGACUUCUCUCUUCGGUCAAGAAUGGCGCCCUAUACGCAUGGAUGUCGUUCACCCACUGUACACACGGCCACUCCUGAUGCAGUGGCACGUAAAUUCAACCAUCCGGCAAUUGAUCUCAACCGUCCACCUCUGGACGAUCCGAUGGACGAUCAUGAUCCGAAUUCAUCCGUCACCGAUUGCAAGAGUGUUGUCUCUGCUGAUCAAUCUGGCACUCCUCCGUUGCUGUUCAACGGCAGUAUGUUGGUGGAACUCAGCGAGGGACACAAGGUCCACCGCCUUAUCAAAGAGGACUUCUCGAGGCUAGCUGCGCUUGGGAUGCAAGUUACCUUGGCGGCAAUCCACGCGAAUUGCUGCUCUGAUGUCUCGGCAAAAGCACGGUACCAAGCGUUUCAAGUUUACUCAAAGGCAGUGCAGAAGAAAGGCGGCGACAACACCGCCAACGUGAAAUGCGCAUGGUAUGCGGCUUCGAAGGAAGAGGUAUUCAAGAUCUUGUCCAAUGGUUUUGGCUACAGUGGGAGGCCCGAGAACAAUGGCUUGUAUGGUUGUGGAGUUUAUUUUGCUCCUUAUGGUUAUCCUCUUGAAAGUGUAAUAUCCGCUCCUACAGAUGAAGAUGGGCUAAGGCAUCUAUUGCUUUGUCGGGUCAUACUGGGGAAAUCAGAACUUGUCAAUCCUGGCUCGGAACAAUCUCAUCCCAGUUCGGAAGAGUACGACAUGGCCGGCAACGGCUUAUCAUUUUCGAUGAGAUUGAGAAUUUGGAGUAGUCAUCUGAACAUUUGUGUGUUGCCGGUGUACAUUGUGAGCUUUAGAUUCCCUUCUUGCUCAAGAGGGUUCUUGACAACUCCAGAGAAGCCGCAAAAAUUGGGUACCCCUUCAACACCACUUUCGAGUUUGAUUUGGGAACUCUUGAAGAUUUUACCUCCGUCUGAUGUCAGCUUGAUCUACAAGCAUUAUAAGGACCACAAAAGGGGGAAGAUUCCAAGGCACGAGCUAAUACAAAAAUUAAGGGAAAUAGCAAGGGCUUGGUUACUGAUUGAAAUUAUAAAAAGUCUCAGAACUAAGGAGAGGAAGAGUCCAACUAAUGAGCUGAUACAAAAAAUCAGGAAAGUAGCAGGGGAUUGGUUGCUGAUUGAAAUCUUUAAAACUUUCACAACUAAGGAAGGGAAGAUUCCAAGGCAUGAGCUGAUACGAGAAUUCAGGCAAGUAGGUGGGGAUAGGGUGGUGAUUGGAAUCAUUAAAAGUCUCAAAACUGAUGGGAUAAUUUGAAGUAGUUCGAACACACAUCUAGGCCUUUAUGUCAAGCCAUGGAUAGAGAGAGGUUAGGUUGCAACUUGAAUGAUGGUUUCUGUUGCGCAAUUUGGGGCGUGAAGAGGCUGAUCAUGGGAGUAUGGAUGGACUUGAAUGUGAAUGGGAUGUGAGGGGUGUUAAUAAGUUUGGUUUUCAUUAUUGAUGAGUUCCUAGCACACAUCAACAUGAGCCAAUGGUACACAAGAUGUGGACGAGGAGGUGCAUUUGGAAUCAUAGAUAGGAAAAAGACUCUUUUGGAAUUUGUAUGAUAUGCUGAUCUUUUGGAAUGUUUGUGUUUACUUAUAAUCAUCAACUGCAGUUUUUUCUUGGUUCCUAUGUCGCAUGACUGUUUCCAAUGGAGAUGGAGACCUUUGGAAUUUGUAUGAUUGGCAUGUCUUUUGGAAUAUUUGUUUGCUUAUAAA